GUCCACGCUGUAAACGAUGGAUACUAGGUGUAGGAGGUAUCGACCCCUUCUGUGCCGGAGUUAACACAAUAAGUAUCCCACCUGGGGAGUACGGCCGCAAGGUUGAAACUCAAAGGAAUUGACGGGGCCCGCACAAGCAGUGGAGUAUGUGGUUUAAUUCGAAGCAACGCGAAGAACCUUACCAAGGCUUGACAUACAGUGGAAUACGGCAGAGAUGUCGUAGCCCUUCGGGGCUGCUGUACAGGUGGUGCAUGGUUGUCGU
rnacentral:rRNA from 1 species